rnacentral:tRNA from 1 species
GGGGUUGUGGCUCAGCGGUAGAGCGCUCGCCUAGCAUGUGCGAGGCCCUGGGUUCCAUCCUCAGCACCACA